ACAGAGGCCAGUGUGCUCUCUCAUUCAGGGCCUGCUUCCUGGCUCCACUGUCUCAGGACUGCACCUGACGUUAGGAUUCUGAACAUUGGAUGGCUCCCUCAAUCUAGACACUCACGGCUUGCAAGCUGUGUGGUCAGAAACCUGUGGACUCACAGUUGCAGAACGAAGGAAGAGACGCACAACUGAAGAUCUCCCGAGUUGCCCAGCCACGGAGGACUCCCCCAGUUUGUCCAUAGUCAAAUGUUGAUUCCUCUGGAACUGGAGUUACAGACUGUUGCGAGCUGCCAUGUGGGUUCUGGGAAGUGAACCCGGGUCCUCUGGAAGAGCAGCCAGUGCUCUGAAGGGCUGAGCCAUCUCUCCAGCACCCACUCAGAAGUUUCUUACAGCAUGGCUAUUGCUCGGGAAGGAAAGCAGCCUAGUCACCUCGGACAAAGUCUGAGAACAAGUGCAUUUGUACAUCUGCUUUGGGUCCCUUGACUGUACUUCGUGAGAAAUCUGGUUCCUUAGUUUACUAUCCAAGGCAGUGUAAAUAAGAAACACCUCACACAGGUGUUUGAACACCUGGUCCCAGUCGGUGCCACGGUCUGGGGAGACUUAGGAGGUGCCGCCGGACGUAGACUAUGAGGGUAUCCAGCCUCGUCAGACUUCUGGUUCUUUCUGUGCAUUUCAUUCUUGUGGUGGCAGAUGUGCUUUCUCACUGGCUGCUCUGGAUGCCUGCUGCUGGAACCUCCCCACUACAAAGGGCUCUUCUCCCUCUAGAACCAUAGCCCUAACAAGCUCUUCGUCUGUUGACUUUAGUCUUGGUGUCUUAUCGCAACAGAAAGGUACCUAGAGCAUCACUAUUGAGGGCAUGGGUAAUUUGCAGACAGGUUGCCCUAUGCUGGUGGCAGAGGCCACACAGGAGUGCCCCUCCCUCCUUCCAUGGAUUUGGAACAUGCUCAGUGGUAGUUUUCACAGAUGCACUGUCAUGUGUUAUGUUCCCUAGCAGUUGGGGUGCUGUUCAGGAGUCUUGGAGAUAAUAAGGAGGUUGUGUCCUCAUCUAAUAAAAAGGGGGACCCGGACAGAGACGCAGACACAAAGGGAAGAUGACGUGAUGACAAGGGAGAGUGCCAGCUACAGCUCACGAGAUGUCUGAAGUCAUCAGGAUCCUAGUAACCAUCCCAGAACAGAUGCUCUCUCCCAGCCCUCUGACGGAACCAGCCCUGCGCACGCCUUGAUGCUGAACUUGUAACCUCCAGAGAGAGGAGAUGAUGCAUUUCUGUGUUAACUCACUCCGUACUUCUUCAUGGCAGCUCUAGGAAACUCACACAUUCACUACGCAUUUUCUCAAUUAAUACAUCACGGACAUGAACCUGAUAUAAGAACGUUUCCCCCCAGUCUUCCUUUAUCUUUGGCUCACAGGGGCCAUUUCUGUCACAUAAUCAUGAUCACUGUUUCUUCCGAGACGAAGCUUGUAUUAAAUGUACAUUAUUUUAUCAUUUUGUUUAUUCCUCAAGAGAUAGGUAUUACUGUGUCUACCAUAGAAUAGGCUAAACUGAAAUUGCUAAUGUGGUUAGUAAUGUGGACUGGACUUUAACUACUAUUCCAGAAGGCUCAGAGCCUACACUGGGGUCUCUGAAGGACUGAAUGCUAUGCCACACUAAAACAGAGGGUUUCCGUAUGGCAAAGCAGGCUUAGGAGAUUACUGGCGGGACCUAUGAUUCUUGACUGAGGGGCCCAUGCAGAAUGGGAUGCUAAGUGUGCUAAAAUAUAGCUUAUGGGAAAGGGGUCAUAGGGUCUGCUCUGGGGAUCUGUGACAACAAUAAAACCAUGUG